UCGUCUCUCACUAACCCUAGAGACACCCCGGUCUCACACCGCCUCACACCACCGUCCGCCGCCUGCCGGAAAUCGCCCACGGCGGCGGGAAACCACCAAUCACUCCCAAAUUCACACCAUAGAUUCUCCUUCAUCUCCCCGUUCCGAAUCAUCAACCCGUUACCUUCGAAUCAUCUCAGAACUCGUCGAAUCAUCGAUAGAAGUUCGGACCCCUGAACCCUAACUUACCCAAUCGACCCCAAAUUAACACCCUAGGACCCCUUCCCUUCCCUUAUACCAAAUCCAUCAUUAGUUUCCCUCGAAUGUAUCCAGAGCUCCUCGAAUUUCAAAUCCGGAGUUCGAAGCCUAAAAAGCCUAAAAUCAUUUUUUCAUCGAACCGGGCGGCCUGCAUGACAAUAGGAUGUUGUUAAGUGUUGAUUCGAUGAAACUGAUGUUGAUCAGUUGUUCUUGACAAAGAACAAAUGAUUAACCUUAGUUUCGUUAAAUCACUGAAUCUGGUGGGAUUUGAUUUCUAUCCGGUAUGCUCUUGAAAUUGUAAUGGAGUUGAAGCUUGACUGAAUGUGUGUAAGGAUCUGUGAAUACAAAUCAUAAUUGAAUGAAAACAAAUCAGUUCCUGUUAUAACUACUGUGUAAUUCAGUCUUAUAUUGCUCAUAUUUAGUUUAGCAUGCUGUGGAUAUUUAUCAUGAAAUACAGUUGGUUUUAGAUGCUAGAUCUAGAUUUCAUGUGAGUAUGAGAGAUUCAUGUUUUAGACUUGGUAAGACAUGUAAUAAUUAUGGAUUGUGAUCUGUAUUUUUACUGGCUGAAGUGUUUGAUUUUAAUCCCAUAGUCAUGGGUUUUCUGUUGAUUACAAUUAUGAGUUACUGAAGUAGUUUUCCAACAAUUA